UGGGGAAUUUUGCACAAUGGGGGAAACCCUGAUGCAGCGACGCCGCGUGAUUUAGAAGGCCUUCGGGUUGUAAAAAUCUUUUCUAUGGGAAGAAAAUGACAGUAUCAUAGGAAUAAGGACCGGCUAAUUACGUGCCAGCAGCCGCGGCAAUACGUAAGGUCCGAGCGUUGUCCGGAAUCAUUGGGCGUAAAGGGUACGUAGGCGGGUAAGCAAGUUAGAAGUGAAAUCCUAUAGCUCAACUAUAGUAAGCUUUUAAAACUGCUCAUCUUGAAGUAUGGAAGGGAAAGUGGAAAUCCUAGUGUAGCGGUGAAAUGCGCAGAUAUUAGGAGGGAUACCGGUGGCGAAGGCGACUUUCUGGCCAUAACCUGACGCUGAGGUACGAAAGCGUGGGUAGCAAACAGG
rnacentral:rRNA from 1 species